UUAAUUGAAACCAAAGAAGAGGUAUUUCACUGUUAAUGAAUAAAUUGAAUUUUAAUUCCAAUUAAA
rnacentral:tRNA from 1 species